UACGUGGGGGGCAAGCGUUGUUCGGAAUUACUGGGCGUAAAGGGCUCGUAGGCGGCCAACUAAGUCAUACGUGAAAUCCCUCGGCUUAACCGGGGAACUGCGUCUGAUACUGGAUGGCUUGAGUUCGGGAGAGGGAUGCGGAAUUCCAGGUGUAGCGGUGAAAUGCGUAGAUAUCAGGAGGAACACCGAUGGCGAAGGCAGCUCGCUGGGACGGUACUGACGCUGAGGCGCGAAAGCGUGGGGAGCAAACAGG
rnacentral:rRNA from 1 species